GCAAGAUGAAUUUGCCUUAAGUUUUGUUAUAGCAACCUGAAAUGAAUAAGACAAGUAUUAUCAAGAGUAACUGCACAUAUUUAUGGAAAUCACAACAUGAUAUAAAAAAAUUACAAAGAAAAAAUAUCUUAAGGAGACAAUUUGUAACUUUUUCGCAGAGAGCUUAGAAAUAAAAAACAAACAUAUAAAACCCAGCUCUUUUGUGAUUUAUAAAGCACAGGCUGAAUAGGGCCAUAUACAAAUAUUUAAAUAUUUAACAUACAAGAGGAUAAGUUUCAAACAUUUUUACAAGGUGUUAUAUUCAAAUACAGAGCUUAAUGAAUUAAACUCUGUAACACACUGAUGUCUAGACAUGAAAGAAAACUUGCUUCAGGUUUAAUAAAAUACAUUUUAAUUGUAUAAUAUGCUAAAUACAAAUGCAAUAAUCUCAGCUUAUUCACACUUAUAUGACAUCCUGUGACUACACUGUUGCCCAACUUCUACAUAAUCUUUACAUGAAAAUGUGGAGUAGGGAUGGAUGUUUAUAGACUAAAAACUAGAUUUUGGAGAUCAUGAAAACAAAGAAAAAGGGUACUUCUCCUUCUUCUAAAUAUUUGCAUAGGUAUGAGCUACUGUAGUUUGUGGAAUACCAAAUAAUUUAAUGUCAAAAUAGUUUUAAGGACUUUUAUCAAAGUCAUUUGUAUCCAGAGUUUAAAAUUUGAGUAGUGUUAAUAGCUUUAAAAGAAAAAAAAAGAAAACAAAAAAAGCAAAGAGUAGUCUCUAGUCUCUGACCUUCCCUCUACCAUCCCUGUCCUGGUUGCUGUCCCAAGUAAGAGCCUUUUCUAUCAUUUUAAUUGUUAUUCUGGCAGAUAUAUCUGUAUUUCUAAUAUCUAUCAUACUCUUGAAUCAUCUGUCUUAAAACAGACUGCUUGGUACUGAAUCCUAGUACCAGACUUACCAGCUUUUUGAACUUUGGCAAAUUACAUAACAUUUUAACGCCUCAGUUUACUGAUCUAUAAAAUGGAAAUAAUAAAACCUGCCACAUAGGCUUAUUGGGAGGAUUAAAUGUUGAAAAUUCUGUAUGUGUAAUACCUGCUUAUAAUAUAAUGAUCAUAUAGUAGUAACUAUUAUUAAUUUUAUUACUACCUUAUGGUAAGUGAGUGAGGAUUUGAAUUCUCAAUCAAUUCUUUCUCCAUCCUAAAAUAGUUGUAGCAUAUCAGUUUUUUAAAAAAUUACAUUCAUUGUUUCCAUCCUUAUGUCCUUCCUAUAUCUGCAGCAACUUUAGAUUAAUGAGAUUUUCAUUUUGUAUCCUCUAAAACAAUUUACAAGAGAGAUGGUAAACUAGCUAAGAUGCUGAGCCAUUGGAAUUUUCUGGGUAACUUUCAAUUUGCCAAAUGCCAAAUCACUGCUAUUUCUGGACUAUAAGAAACUGGAAUAUAGAACUUUUAUUGUAGCUUUAUGUGCUUUUAUUAAAAUCUUUGUGAAACAUGUACCACUACUGCAGUUACUAUAACAUCUUUAUUACUCACUUACUUUUGCCUUCUAUUUUCAUCAUUUUCAAAGCUAAGCAUACUUGAGA
rnacentral:lncRNA from 1 species